CAGGCUGGAUGUGGCUCUGGGCAGCCUGGUCUGCUGGUUGGCGACCCUGCACAUAGCAGGGGGGUUGAAACUCGGUGAUCAUUGUGGUCCUUUUCAGCCCAGGCCAUUCUGUAAUUCUGUGAUGUGUACAACUAUGAGAAUAGUGCCAUCUUUCCUUGCCGUGAUGCAGCGCAAACAGUUCAGCAUUUCUAACAAAAUGAGCUGGUGAGGUGGGGAGGCCGGAGAUAAACCCCCCAGAGCAGUGAAUGAACAGCUGGCACUGGAGGGCCCCAGCAGAGCUCAUCUCAGAGCAGCCACAGGAGAAUGAAGAGCUACAUGUUUCAUUGCUGUUGUUAUGACCAGUUUCAGUAGAUGUGAUAAUGGCCACCUAUGAGGAGAAAGCUACAGUUGUGUAUGGAUCAACGUCCAGGAAGGUAUGGGAGCUGCAGUUCGUUUAGUAGCCCUUCCAAUAGAGAAGAACCUGCAAAGUGCUUUCCAGGCGUGGAGUUACUCCUGUGGUGACAGGGGAGUGGUCAGAGAAAGCAGGCAACGCUGACUCGUGCAGGUAAAGCAAGCAAGUUGUGUGGCACUGAGUUGGAUGCCCGGGAGAGAUGCAGUGGCAGAGCGCCCAUCGUUGGAAGCACAGUUUGGCAGUUUCCUGUGUUGCCCAAGGAACUGGGACUGCCCGGGCAGAGAGCUCAAGGUUGUCUUACAGCUGAAGGAGGGAAAAUAGAGCAGCAACAACUGAGGCAAGCUUUCAUCAGAGUUUUGAACACCGCACUACAAAUUGUAUGCCAAAGAAAUGCUUCCAUCUCACACUGUCCUCCAGACCAGAGGGAUUAUAUGGGCUUUCAGAAUCUUAUUAUACGUGGAGAAAUGCACAUAUCUUGCCUGAAGGACAUCUCAGAGAAAACUCGAGAACAGCUGCCUGGCAGAGGGCAGCGGUGGAUUCUUUGUGGACUGCUGAAGAAGGUUGGCACGAAUUACAAGGCUGAAGCACAAUCCAGAGCAGGAGGACAGAAGGGACGUCCCCAUGUUUGGAAUCAGCCUGCUCCACAGCUGGUGGCUGCAGCAGCACCAGAGAUGGGUGCUGCCAGGUGGGCGGUGGGACUGCUGCCCUACAGCCACGUCUGUCUGCCACCACCCCGCUCCUUUCCCAUUAGUGUUUCCCUCCAGAAUGACUGUGACUUCCAGGGGCACCUCUGGGAAUGUUUCUUUGGCACACGCACCAAAGGCACCUCUGAUUGUUUUGUUUGUUUCAAGAUGAGUUGUGUACCUGCUGUUUGCAGCCCCUGCCCCGAGGCCACGCUCACAGGCUGUCAGCUCCUGGAGCCGAGGAUCCGUCCCUUCACUGCCAUAGAAAGCAAAACCCCAACCUCGGUGAACUUUGGCAUAUUUUCCUAAUUGAUGCGAAUGAGAUGAGAGGGAAAACUGACUCCUGUGACCUCCACAGCAUAACUGUGUACUGUGUGUUGCAUGAAUAAAGGGGUGUGCCAUAGCUGCACAAAUGUGAACUGGCACCAUUCUACCCUUAACAGCUUUGCUCUGUGUCAUCCAGCUGUUUGACAGGAAUGGACCAAAUGCUGUCAGUAUUCUCAUUAGUAAAUUUGCAGUCGCUCAGUGAUGGAGUGCUGUGCCUUUGGAGGGGCUUUGGACAGUGAGUCCUGCUUGCUGCACAGGAUCAUAAGGAAGAGCAGCUCCUCUCUGAAGGUCUGUAAGUACAGAAAGCUGCAUUUAGGAGAGCAGUUUGUGUUUAACAUGUUUGUAUUCUGAUCUUCCUGUGUCUCCACACGCCCAAGGCCUGACCCUGCAGCUGGGUACGUGCUUGGCAGAUGGGUGACUGGGCCAUCAGCCUCCCCCUGCUCUGCCACAACACGGCCACUGUGUCUCGUGGAGGGGUGGGUAAAUGGAGCUGCUGCCCCUCCCCCGUGAGGGCCAUGGGUCCUAACUGGAGCCCCAGAGCCUGGGGGAGAUUGGGCCAUGGCACUGUGGGCCUUAGGGGAACGACAGUGCUUUCACAUCCAUCUUCCAGUCACUAAAUCCCACUCCUUAUGGAUGGGCCAAGUUGGGUGCAUCGUGUCACAGCCAAACGGGAGCCAUGUACUGCAGGUGGGCGUGUGGGCUUUGGUGCUGUCAGCCAGUACCUGUGCAGGGUUCUGUACACCAGGCAGGAUGCAGGCAGAAGGUGGCUGAGAUUUUCUUACAAUGAGACACUUUUUAUGGGACAACAGAAAAGUACACAGAAAGGAAGUGAAGAGCUCCGGUCCUGGGCUUCUGAUGCAGAAUCAAGGAGAAAUAGUGAAAAUAUUGGAAUGGAGAAUGGCAACAAGUGAAAUCACAUUCUAGUCUUGCAUGGAAGUGUGAAACUGCUGCAAAACACCUGGCUCUCACAGCUCCGUUGACUCCAAUGUGAUGCAUGCAGCUGAGUUGGUAUGAACUCAUCAGGCGGACGGGGAGCAGAGCAGAUCUUUAUGAAUUGAAGCACAUCGAGCGAUAACUGAAAUGCCUGAAAAUCAUCACAGCACUGAUAGGUGUGAAUUUAUGCCAGCUCGCAAAGUACUUUUUGUAUCUUAAUUAUUGAGGAGCAGAUGAUUAUGUUAUGUCAUAUCGCUGGGGGGGAUGAGAUUAGAAGCCCGGGGAAUGGGAGUAUCAUUAGAGAAGCAAAGAUGAUGAUAUUUGCUUUGGGAAAAAAGUCCAUAAGAGGUUGGCGUUGUACUGCAGUUACAGCAACAACUGCAGCCAGCAGCUGAGUGCCCGCUUCGACACGGCGCGCUGUGCAAACAACGAUCAUUGUGCACUUCUGGGCUCAGGUGCUAAAUGGAUUACUGGGAAACUCCCAAAAUAAAAACGUGUGAUCCCUACACGAAAUGUAGCUGACGAUUGAGAAGCACCGCUUUAAUGGGUGAUUUUUAUUUUUUAGAUUUUGGCAUUAAAAAUAGAAUAUAGGCCA